UGGCGGACGGGUGAGUAACACGUGGGAACGCGCCCUUCGGUUCGGGAUAACUCAGGGAAACUUGGGCUAAUACCGGAUACGCCCUUACGGGGAAAGAUUUAUCGCCGAAAGAUCGGCCCGCGUCUGAUUAGCUAGUUGGUGAGGUAAUGGCUCACCAAGGCGACGAUCAGUAGCUGGUCUGAGAGGAUGAUCAGCCACAUUGGGACUGAGACACGGCCCAAACUCCUACGGGAGGCAGCAGUAGGGAAUUUUCCACAAUGGGCGAAAGCCUGAUGGAGCAACACCGCGUGCAGGAUGAAGGCCUUCGGGUUGUAAACUGCUUUUAUAUGUGACGAUUAUGACGGUAGCAUAUGAAUAAGGAUCGGCUAACUCCGUGCCAGCAGCCGCGGUAAU
rnacentral:rRNA from 1 species